UCACAUGCACAAGAAGCAGUCACUCUCUUGUGCUGUCUUCUCAUAGGAAGCCAUAUCCUAAUUUGACUAUCACUUUUCAUAAGAUAUAGAGACACUUGAGGUAACCAGGAGAAGAGUGACAUGAAUGAACAGACAAGACGCCUGAUGGGAACGAGGUCCCUUGGGGAAAGCGUCAAGAAUCAGAGCGGUUGGACCUAAAGAGGAAAACUGGAAGGUGCUGCCUGGCUUUCUACCUGGACCGCAUCUCCUGCCCCCACCAGCCCACCCAGCCCCUCCUAGGCAGCAUCCACACCCACGGCCAGCUCCGCCACAGCAGAAGCUCCAGUUCAGAGAACCAGAGGUCGAACCCUAAGAAAUGCUGUUAAAUCAACAAUUUAAAGAGGAAAUUCGUAAUGCCAAGAACAAAGCCGAGGAAACAGGUGUCUAAUUUGGUAAUGUGGACCGAGAUGCCAUGGGUCCUGCUCCCUGCUUUCCAUUUUCAUCCCCGUAACAUGGUCCUUAUAGUAAAAUCUACAGAGCUCA